GAUGAACGCUGGCGGCGUGCCUAAUACAUGCAAGUCGAGCGAACAGACGAGGAGCUUGCUCCUCUGACGUUAGCGGCGGACGGGUGAGUAACACGUGGAUAACCUACCUAUAAGACUGGUAUAACUUCGGGAAACCGGAGCUAAUACCGUAUAAUAUAUUGAACCGCAUGGUUCAAUAGUGAAAUACGGUUUUUCGGUCACUUAUAGAUGGAUCUCGGCCGCAUUGGCUAGUUGUUAAGGUAACGGCUUACCAAGGGAAGGAUGCGUAGCCGACCUGAGAGGGUGAUCGCCCACACUGGAACUGAGACACGGUCAAGACUCCUACGGGAGGCAGCAGUAGGGAAUCUGCGGCAAUGGGCGAAAGCUUGACGGAGCAACGCCGCGUGAGUGAUGAAAGUCUUCGGAUCGUAAAACUCUGUUACUAGGGAAGAACAACUGUGUAAGUAAACAUGCCCGUAUUGACGGUACCGAAUAAGAAAGCCCCGGCUAACUACGUG
rnacentral:rRNA from 1 species